rnacentral:rRNA from 1 species
AUUGAACGCUGGCGGUAGGCCUAACACAUGCAAGUCGAGCGGAUGACGGGAGCUUGCUCCUUGAUUCAGCGGCGGACGGGUGAGUAAUGCCUAGGAAUCUGCCUGGUAGUGGGGGACAACGUUUCGAAAGGAACGCUAAUACCGCAUACGUCCUACGGGAGAAAGCAGGGGACCUUCGGGCCUUGCGCUAUCAGAUGAGCCUAGGUCGGAUUAGCUUGUUGGUGAGGUAAUGGCUCACCAAGGCGACGAUCCGUAACUGGUCUGAGAGGAUGAUCAGUCACACUGGAACUGAGACACGGUCCAGACUCCUACGGGAGGCAGCAGUGGGGAAUAUUGGACAAUGGGCGAAAGCCUGAUCCAGCCAUGCCGCGUGUGUGAAGAAGGUCUUCGGAUUGUAAAGCACUUUAAGUUGGGAGGAAGGGUUGUAGACUAAUACUCUGCAAUUUUGACGUUACCGACAGAAUAAGCACCGGCUGACUCUGUGCCAGCAGCCGCAGUAACAC